rnacentral:piRNA from 1 species
UGAUAGUUUCCCUUUCUCCACGUUGCCUGC